rnacentral:precursor_RNA from 1 species
UCCUAAAGUCGCCUUCGCACGAAUUUUGAGAGGGGAAGAGCGGAGAUGGCCGUCCGUGCCCAGUUGCGGUGCGGUUGGCAUAAAUAAGCACGAGAUCUGUCGCAAAUGUCACGAGGUGCGGUGGCCGAGCGGGUCGGCGUUGUGUUGUGGAUUGUGGUCGCGGCUCUGUGCAGAACUUUACCGGGGUAGCUGCCUUCUCGCUUGUGGGAGGAUUCGGUGCUCGUCUU